UACCAGCACCCCGAGUGGUCGGGACGAUUAUUGGGCCUAAAGCAUCCGUAGCCGGUCCUACAAGUCUUCCGUUAAAUCCACCUGCUCAACAGAUGGGCUGCGGAAGAUACUAUAGGGCUAGGAGGCGGGAGAGGCAAGCGGUACUCAGUGGGUAGGGGUAAAAUGCGUAGAUAUCGAGAGGAACGCCGGUGGCGAAAGCGACUUACUGGACCGUUUCUGACACUCAAGUGCGAAAGCUAGGGGAGCAAACAGG
rnacentral:rRNA from 1 species